UGUACAGAAAAUGAUGAUAUUAAAUUGCAGCAGAAGAGGCAAUGGUUCUUAAUCCUAGGAUAUUUUCUAGACAGUCCAUGAGAGAAAAUAAAACCUAGCAGGUUGAAAGGCUUCAGGAAUCCUGUGCAUCUAAAAACCAUUUUAUCCAGGUGAUUCUUACAAACAUUAUAGUUUAAGAACUACUCUACAGUAAGUCACGCAAAGUGCUGAGUGGUUCAUUGAACAGUCCUAAUUUCAAUCCUUAGUCUCACCCUCUGGGUGGAACCCAGAAAAGCAGAAAGGGUAGAAAGUAAGGACCGUUUGUAAAUGUCGGUCCCUACACGGGAUUGACUCUUCCUUGCGACUUUCAUCACAGCUGCUCACCAGUGAUUUGUUGAUAAAAACAUCUGAAGCCCAUGGAAACGACUGUAGUCUUUAAAAUAUGAUUUCCACUUUGGAGUCUAAGCAGCAGACAGACCCAGCAGGGAUCCUGGGUUUGGUUUGUCAUGGGUUCCAUUCUUUGUUAGCCUAUUUUCUUACAUCUUAUUGCCAGAAGAAGGGUGGAAGGGAGUCAGUAGUUUCUUUUCCUCCAUGUUAUCAGUGGCGGAAAUGGUUGGAUCCUUUCAGUAUGUACUUAGAUCUGCUCUGUCUUACCCAACAGACACUAUUAUCCUCAAUUUCCAGAAGAAAUGGAGACUCAGAAAACGUAAAUGAUGUGAAUAUGUGACCAAUAAAUGGUGGAUUUAAACUACCGGCCAUAUAUUUGGUUCUUAGCAUUGGAAUAACCCUUUCAGACCAUGUUUUCACACUUUUAUGGGUUGAAAAUAUGAGUGUGAUGCUCAUAUUUAAUUAAUUUCUGUUGAAUUGAAUGAGAAUGGAGGAAAGCUCCUGGCAAACAUUUGUGACAGAGAAUCUUUCCUAUUUUUUCUUUUCUGCCCCCAGUUGGCACUUUUUCUCCUUUUAUUGCUCUUAGACCUGGUGCCUGGGACAACUACCUGUCUCCUAGAUGCUCGGGUCUUCACCUGUUUCACUCAGCACUUACCACACUCCAUUCCCCAACUGUGCUUGGACUUUUCUUCUCUUUAUGUGAUAAUGUACUCUUCCUCCUUCCUGAAUCCACAAGACACAAAAUCCUGCUGUGUGUUGGUCAGAUAAACCAACCCUUGCUAUUUAGCUAGCUAGCUAGUAUUUAGCAAUAUCUGAUGCAAGUUAAAUUAAGUAUUUCCUUAAGGAAGUAUUUCCAGAACUAGAAAAGUACCUGAUAGGAGUUCCAUAUUCAGUCGGUGAUGCUUUAUUGUGUUUAAACCAAAUAGUCAGAGGCUCCAUCCACUUAUAUAUAAGGCCAGCCCUGAACAUUGGCAUUUAUUUAAAUACCCUCCAGGGAUACUCAAGUCUUCAAUGCUGCACACACACAGAUUCAAGCCAAAUAUACACACUGACAUUUUUCCCCCCGCCCUCGCCUCCUUCCCUAGAGCUCAUAAUAUUUAAGGCCGAGCUGGUGUCAAGGACCCUCCUGAGAAAGGAGCUGCUCCUCUGGGAGUUUGUCUAAUGGGGCAACUGGCAUUUCCUAGUUCACCAGAGGAGUGCUGAGCGUGAGGCCUUUGUAGAAUCCCCAGGGUAUCAGCACGAAGCUCGAUAGAGCAGUCUGUUCUGAUCAGAUCAAAGCCACCUAAGAAAUCAAGUAUAUAAAAGACGGAACUCUCUUCUCUCUCUCCCACCUAUCAGCUGUCAAUUACUACCUGUUUUGCAAGGAGCAUGAAACAACAAAAAGUAACUGCCACUGCUAAUAUUUUCACAUCGACAAAAUUUUUUCGUAUGCCUGCCCUCCUUUUGUGCUCACAAGUCUUAUUUUUCUACUUUUUAAAAAAAAUCUGGGAUUAUAGUGGAAGUUUCACAAGGCCACCUAGCUAGCUGCAGGCAUAACAGGAUCAUUUACUAAGCUUUUAAUUUAUGUUUUCUUCUUAUUUUUCCAACCCCGUUUUGAGAUGCCAAUCUGGCCGUCUUGUUCUCUAGCUCUUUGUGAUGGAGUGCAAAUCAAAGGAACCCAAUGACUGGUGUCUUAGCUGCAUGACAAUUUAACUUUCCACUUUGGAACUGGAAAAACUACAAAUCAAACUCUUAACAGUAACAAGUAUAAUGAAGAUCUAAGAAGAGAGUAUGAGUAUGUAUGUUUCGUCAAUAUAUUUCAAAUCAGAAACUGCCUCCCUGUCUCCAGUGACAAAGUAACUGUUGGCCAACAAAGCAUAUCUGACCUGAUGGCUUUAGGAUUUAGGAAGCUCUCAAAUGUGGGGGACACAGAAACGUGUGGGCACAGAAAUGAGCCGAAUGUUGGAUAAAGGAAUAGAGCCGGUGCGAAGGAGGAAAAAGUUAUUGGAAAGGGGAUUUUGAAAUCUUCAUCAAUACUUUCCUAGACUCAGCCAUUUCUCCAGGAUCCCAGCUUCCUUUUGUUGGAGAAUUAGAAACCAAGAUCUGGGUGAAUUGCUUACCUGAGUAUUGUUUUUGCCCCUCUCAGCUGACAGAGCAAGGAUAUAAUUCUUCUGAGUAGCUGUCAAAAAAAGUCAGUCUGAAAGAACUGGAGAUCAUGCCAUCAUUCAUGGAGUUGAGCAUACUAGGGAAUGACACAGCCACCAUGAAGUAAUUUCAGAUGAGGAGGCUGUGGUCAGAGAUAUCAAGAGACUUGGAAGAGUCACCUAGCGAAUAGAAGACCCCUCUGAAAUUUGAAUACAGGACACUGCAAAAUCUUAUUCUAUAAAUGUCUACAUUCACAUUUGAACUUCAAAGUAUUAAACUUAUUUACCUCCAGGGAAUGUGUAAGAGGUCAAAUCUUCCUAAAUAUAUGGUUUUCACACAUAACACCAUCUUGAAAACAUCUGGACUUCACAGAAACCACAGGAUGCCUUUCCAGUGGAGCUAACAACCACAACAAAACACAAAGAAACAAAAAAGCAAAAACAAAACGAAAACACCAAAAACAAAAAACAAAACCAAACCAAAAAAACCAACAAAACAAAAUACGACAUUCUCCAACAUACUAACAGCCGUCUCCAAGAUCAGAAAGCAUCAGAAAAGACCCUAAAGAGUUGUGUAAUCCCAGAGGAAGUAUCUUGCUUAGAUGGAGAAACGCUUGCAGCAGAAACCCGGGAAAUUUCAGGGAGUGGAAUUUUAUUGUCAGAACUUUCAAUGCAAGUGCAGCCACAGAUCCUGGGAGCGUUAAAUAAAAAUUACCAACAAGCUGUCUUACCUGCGUGCACUCCAUUGAAAGGAAGGGCAAACGUGAGCUAGUUGCGCUUGUACAUCAGUCAAAACUCUGACAGCUACCCUGUGAAGUUUGACGAGCUGCCAUGUGCUCGACUACCUAAGAUACUCUUAACUGAACCAUAAAAAGACAAAUAAAUUAGUAAUUGCAUCCCU